rnacentral:rRNA from 1 species
GUGGGGAAUCUUGCGCAAUGGGCGAAAGCCUGACGCAGCCAUGCCGCGUGAAUGAUGAAGGUCUUAGGAUUGUAAAAUUCUUUCACCGGGGACGAUAAUGACGGUACCCGGAGAAGAAGCUCCGGCUAACUUCGUGCCAGCAGCCGCGGUAAUACGAAGGGGGCUAGCGUUGCUCGGAAUUACUGGUCGUAAAGGGCGCGUAGGCGGACAGCUUAGUCAGAGGUGAAAGCCCAGGGCUCAACCUUGGAAUUGCCUUUGAUACUGGCUGUCUUGAGUACGGGAGAGGUGAGUGGAACUCCGAGUGUAGAGGUGAAAUUCGUAGAUAUUCGGAAGAACACCAGUGGCGAAGGCGACUCACUGGCCCGUUACUGACGCUGAGGCGCGAAAGCGUGGGGAGCAAACAGGAUUAGAUACCCCGGUAGUCC